GCUCAGUAUCAGAUGGCCUAAUUAACUUCAAUUGGUGUAAGCCGGGAUCCUCUGUCUUGGUGGCGCAGCUCCCUCAGAUGGGCUACAAAUUAAGAGCCAUAUACUACAGGGGAUCUUCCAACGGUAACAAAAGAAGGUUUGCACAAAAAUUGUUAGUAACCUGAUCAUUUGGAAACUCAUGUCAUAGAGUUUAAGACUAGAAGAGACUACUAGAUCAUCUAGUCUGACCUGUAUAGCGACCUGUAUAUCACAAGCCAUGUAAACCAGUUGUUGCAAAAUCCACACAGUGAUGAAAUACUGGAUAUGCAGCCUCGUUGACUGAUGUGGAAAUGCGGCCAUCUGCACAACAAUCAGAUUGUUAUUCCAUAUUGUUCACUGUUGACUACAGUAACUCCUCACUUAAAGUCAUCCCUGUUAAUGUUGUUUCAGUGUUACAUUGCUGAUCAAUUAGGGAACAUGCUCGUUUAAAGUUGUGCAGUGCUCCCUUC